rnacentral:rRNA from 1 species
CACGGGGGGAGCAAGCGUUGUUCGGAAUCACUGGGCGUAAAGGGCGUGUAGGCGGUCAAGUAAGUGGAAUGUGAAAGCCCCCGGCUUACCCGGGGAUCUGCAUCCCAAACUGCUUGGCUUGAGUACGGGAGAGGAUAGGGGAAUUCUCGGUGUAGCGGUGAAAUGCGUAGAUAUCGAGAGGAACACCUGCGGCGAAGGCGGGUUGCUGGGCUGACACUGACGCUGAUGCGCGAAAGCCAGGGGAGCGAACGGG